UUCUCAGGAUGUGUGUGACUUCUCAUACUCAUUUCUCCAAACUCCAAAUUUCUACUGUCAUUUUAGAUAGUACUGUAGAGCUUAUCUCAGAGGUAUAUAUGACUGCACACUGCUCCCUAGUGAUGCCAUGGUAGCUUUACUAAUGUGAAAGCACUUGAAGCCCAUUUCCUUGUAUUAAUCAGAAUGUUCUAUUUAUAACUGAAGAUUCAAAUCAACAAUUCUGAAAGUUAGAUUAAGUUGAUAAAACGGCAUUAUAUAGCAUGAAAUUAAAAGACUUCUGAAAUGACAUUGAAAUCAAAGAGUUUGAAAAUAAAUUUAUAAAAAAGCAUCAGGUACAUGAAAUUUAUUUCAUAUUAAAUUUAUAUAAUAUUAAUAUGAAAUUAAAAUAAUCUAUUUUAGAUGUCUAUAUUUAUAAAAAUUAUAUGACAGUUAUAAAAAUUGUUGUAUGGAAACUUUUAUCAUGUUAACUAUUUUGAGGACAGUAGAAAAGACGUAUUUUUAGACUAUUUAAAAAAAACUUGGCCAUGUAAAAAGCUGUGCACUAAGUUCAGUAGAAACAUUAGAAGUAAAAAGUACUGUAAAUAAGGUUUGUAAAAUGAAAAGCAUGAUUUACAAUUACAUCAAU
rnacentral:lncRNA from 1 species